AGUGGCGGACGGGUGAGUAACGCGUGGGUAACCUGCCUUACACAGGGGGAUAACACUUAGAAAUAGGUGCUAAAACCGCAUAAGCGCACAGCUUCGCAUGAAGCGGUGUGAAAAACUCCGGUGGUGUAAGAUGGACCCGCGUCUGAUUAGCUUGUUGGCGGGGUAACGGCCCACCAAGGCGACGAUCAGUAGCCGGCCUGAGAGGGCGGACGGCCACAUUGGGACUGAGACACGGCCCAGACUCCUACGGGAGGCAGCAG
rnacentral:rRNA from 1 species